rnacentral:tRNA from 1 species
GUUCCUUUAGUUAAACGGAUAUAACAGGGCUCUCCUAAAGCUCAGUUGUGAGUUCGAUUCUCGCAGGGAACGCCA